rnacentral:rRNA from 3 species
AGUGAACGCUGGCGGCGUGCCUAAUACAUGCAAGUCGAACGAUGAAGCUUCUAGCUUGCUAGAAGUGGAUUAGUGGCGCACGGGUGAGUAAGGUAUAGUUAAUCUGCCCUACACAAGAGGACAACAGUUGGAAACGACUGCUAAUACUCUAUACUCCUGCUUAACACAAGUUGAGUAGGGAAAGUUUUUCGGUGUAGGAUGAGACUAUAUAGUAUCAGCUAGUUGGUAAGGUAAUGGCUUACCAAGGCUAUGACGC